AUGGAUUCCUCACGGGUCAAUGGGCGAUCAAGAAGGUCCAUGGCCUAGGUUGGUGACUUCCGUUGCACUUUGGAAGGGUGCCCGCCUAAGGUCGGCCCAAGCGGUCGAGCCUACAUCAUAAUUUGUGGUAGUGGGGGCUUGCAUACACGCGGCCCCUUC
rfam:Helianthus annuus linkage group 13, whole genome shotgun sequence.